rnacentral:rRNA from 1 species
CCUACGGGUGGCAGCAGUGAGGAAUAUUGGUCAAUGGGCGCGAGCCUGAACCAGCCAAGUAGCGUGAAGGAUGACUGCCCUACGGGUUGUAAACUUCUUUUAUAAAGGAAUAAAGUGAGGCACGUGUGCCUUUUUGUAUGUACUUUAUGAAUAAGGAUCGGCUAACUCCGUGCCAGCAGCCGCGGUAAUACGGAGGAUCCGAGCGUUAUCCGGAUUUAUUGGGUUUAAAGGGAGCGUAGAUGGGUUGUUAAGUCAGUGGUGAAAGUGUGCGGCUCAACCGGAAAAUUGCAAUUGAUACUGGCGGUCUUGAGUACAGUUGAGGUAGGCGGAAUUCGUGGUGUAGCGGUGAAAUGCUUAGAUAUCACGAAGAACUCCGAUUGCGAGGGCAGCUUACUAAACUGCCACUGACAUUGAUGCUCGAAAGUGUGGGUAUCAAACAGGAUUAGAUACCCUGGUAUC